GGAAACAGAAGUCAAACCUUUUGGCGUGUCUUCAUUGAGGGCCUGGAAGGCUGCAAUAUUGGGGUUCCAUGUUCCUGUGAUCACAUAGGCCUUUCCAUCAGAAGUCUUUCCCAUCGACUCCUGGGUAGGAAAGUGAUGGGUACAUGCAGAGUGACGGGGAUAGGGAUGGCACUGUCGGCCCGCAAGGUAGCCAUGGCUCUCUGCGCUUCGGCUUCAUCGCGAGGAGCCUUGACGCAAGUGCUGCCCAAGUAAGACAGCUUAUUGAACUGCACGCUGUCUUCCUCUUGAAUGGCGGGGCUAGCCGGCGCUGGGCACGGCCAUGUUAUCUCUGGAGGAUGGAGGACAUAGCUGUCUUUCAUUAUUGGCGGUCACAAACGACUACCAUGGAGCUGCUGUGCCAAGCAACACACUGUGAGGAGAAGUAGGAGCUCCGCAAAAGCAUUAGGGAAGCACUGGUGGUGUUUGUGGAGAAGCCCACACUACCUGGCGGUUGUAUCUCCAGGGCUUCUGGGUUGCUGUGCUUCUCCAUCUCUUCCACGCUACUUUUCUCCACUUUCUCGUCGUCGUCGUCGUCGUCGUCAUCCAGCACCUCCUCCAUUGCUUUCUCCAGCUGCUCACUACCGUUCCAAGACAUCUGGUGGAGGAGGAAGGACCAUGAAUAUUCAAGUAGGGGGUCAGCACACAAAAGGAGAAGAACAUAGACCGUGAAGAAGAACAUGGAGCUUCCUGGAUUAUACUAAGGCCAUGUUAGCUACUAUUGGUUCGCUCAAAAGAGACAAUUGGAAAAACAAUGCUAUCAUUUUGUUUCUUUAUUACUUCACAAUGAAGUGUUUUGGUGGAUCACAAAUUAUUGCCCAACCCAAAGUGUAAAUUCCAGAUUCCCCCAAUGUAGGACUACUAAAGGUUAUCUUAUCUCA